rnacentral:rRNA from 1 species
CCUACGGGGGGCAGCAGUGAGGAAUAUUGGUCAAUGGACGAGAGUCUGAACCAGCCAAGUCGCGUGAAGGAUGACGGCUCUAUGGGUUGUAAACUUCUUUUAUAUGGGAGUAAAGUGAGACACGUGUUCCUUUUUGUAUGUACCAUAUGAAUAAGCAUCGGCUAACUCCGUGCCAGCAGCCGCGGUAAUACGGAGGAUGCGAGCGUUAUCCGGAUUUAUUGGGUUUAAAGGGUGCGUAGGUGGUUAGUUAAGUCAGCGGUGAAAGUUUGGGGCUCAACCAUAAAAUUGCCGUUGAAACUGGUUGUCUAGAGUAUAUUAGCGGUAGGCGGAAUGCGUGGUGUAGCGGUGAAAUGCUUAGAUAUCACGCAGAACUCCGAUUGCGAAGGCAGCUUACCAGACUACAACUGACACUGAGGCACGAAAGCGUGGGUAUCAAACAGGAUUAGAUACCCUUGUAGUC